rnacentral:ncRNA from 1 species
UAGAACAAUGUAGGUAAGGGAAGUCGGCAAAAUGGAUCCGUAACUUCGGGAAAAGGAUUGGCUCUGAGGGCUGGGUCGGAUGGGCUGGCGUAAGAAGCUGUUCCGGUUUUGGUGAGGACUGGGCGAGGCUUUCGGGCUUUACUCGGACCAUGCCGAGACCAGGCAGUAGACGACGUCAGCUGUGCUUGUCGUGUUUCGGCGCGGCAGCUUCGUCCGGCAACAAACAGCCAACUCAGAACUGGCACGGACUAGGGGAAUCCGACUGUCUAAUUAAAACAAAGCAUUGCGAUGGCUGUUGCUCGGUGUUGACGCAAUGUGAUUUCUGCCCAGUGCUCUGAAUGUCAAAGUGAAGAAAUUCAAUCAAGCGCGGGUAAACGGCGGGAGUAACUAUGACUCUCUUAAGUAGAGUCUUAGUCUUAGUGGGUUGAGUGUAGUGAGCUCGUUGAGGCGUGUUUCCUUAGCUAUCGUGAUGAGAAGAAAAGUAACGCCAAGAGGCCAGUUAGAAAGAAGGCAGUUAAGAGAGAGCUGAAGAAUAGAGAGAAGCGCAGAAGAGCGUAUGGAGAGAUGCAGAGAAUUUAUAGUAAGGAUAGGAAGAAAGCAGCGGCUGCUGUUUUUAGUGCGCGCGUGGAGGUUGUGGAGUGAGCCUAGAGAGAGGAGAAUAAGCAGUUUGAAGAUCAGAAGAUGGAGUAUUGGAAGAGAGUUUUGGGCAGGGAGUCUGACCCGGAUGGUCGUCCGGUUAAGCCUCUGAGGGAGCCAGCUGUUGAGAUCGAGGAGCCGAUUAGUCUAGCAGAGUGCAAGAAAGCGCUGAGAGACCUUAAGCAGACAGCUUCGGGACCAGAUGGCGUUAGCUGGAGUAGUGUGAAGAGCUUGGGUCCAGGUUGGCUUCAGUACCUUUUUAAUUCCAUCUUGGCGUGCGGGUAUCCUACAAAAUCUUUUAAAAAUUCGCGCACAGUGCUGAUUCCUAAGACAGAAAAACCUAGUGACCCGGGAGAGUUUAGGCCCUUAGCGAUUGCUAGUGUCUUUGGCAGAGUCUUUCAUAGAAUCUUAGCUAGUAGGUUGGGAGUCUGGGCGCCGUUAGGAGCGAGUCAACGAGCCUUUCAGGUUGGGAUCGAUGGUGUCUCUAUGAACCAUCUCAUCUUAGAGGCGGCUCUGGCGGCAGCUAGAAGGGGAGAUAGUGAGCUUUAUUUAGCUUGGUUAGAUCUUAGAAAAGCGUUUGACUCGGUUAACCAUCAAUCUUUGCUUCGUGCAGCUCGGCGUGCAGGACUGCCUGAGUCCAUCUUGGGUUACUUGGGCAACCUGUACGACGGGGCGGUCACCGAGUUGAACGGGGUUGCUAUUAAGAUUAGUAGAGGGGUUAAGCAGGGGGAUCCUCUAUCACCUAUUCUAUUCUGCUAUGUGAUAGAUGAGUUAAUGGACAACCUAGAUAGCGGUAUUGGGUUCCCGUUGGCAGGGCAUAGAGUCAACGCGGCAGCCUUUGCCGACGACUUGGCUAUUCUGUCUAGGUCUAAAGCCGGUUUGCAGGCGCUCUUGGCAAGCUUGGCCGACUCACUUCUUCCCACUGGGCUUGAGGUGAACCCGGCUAAGUGCUCCACGCUUGCUAUUAUUUGGGACGGGAAGAAUAAGCGUUGGCUGCAUGAUGCCAAGGGGCAGUUUAAGUUUAGGGGGUCUACUCUGCCAGCACUUGGAGUUGAGGAGUCGUAUAAGUAUUUAGGACUUCAGUAUGGUUCAAAGGGCAAGUUGAAGACGGGGCUGGAGUUGCUUAAGGGUAUGCUCAGAGAGUUAAAGGAGGCGCCGUUGAAACCGCAGCAGAGAGUGUUCCUGCUCAGAACAAAUAUUCUACCUAAGAUUAUGUAUUACUUAGUUAAUGGACGCGUGCACCAGUACACUCUUCGCGAGUGUGACAAGUGUGUUCGACGUUUUCUCAGGGAGGUUCUCCAUCUGCCGCACGACACUCCGGUGUCUGCCUUUCAUGCGUGUGCGAAGGAUGGAGGCCUCGACAUCGACUGUUUUGAGUCGCUUGUCCCAAUGUAUAAAUGGCAGAAGCUGGUGAGCCUCGAAGAGGUUCCGGACAAUUUGGUCCGUGACUUGUCUCAGCUACCUGCCAUUCGCAAGCGGUUUCAACUUAAAGGUGCGCAGACCAGUUUUAAUAACAGAGCGGAGUAUCGGAUGUUCUGGAAGAACAAGUUGCUGGACAAUCUAGAUGGAUUUGGUUUAGGUGAAGCAGCGGACGUUCCUCAAGUCCACUCUUGGGUGACUGAUGGCUCGUCCCUGCUCACAGGCGAAAUGUAUAUUAAGUGCCUUAAAAUUAGGUGGAAUGUUUGGCCGACUGCAGCUCGUGCGUCCAGAGGUAGGAGGCAGGCCCCUCUCUGUGAUGCGGGCUGCAGGCAAAUUGAAGGUUUGGGGCACAUUCUGCAGCAGUGUAAUAGGACUUGGGAUAAGAGAGGGGCUAGGCAUGAUAGAAUUGUUGAGUUUGUUGGUAGUCAGGUGGAACGGCGAGGGU